GGUACGCCAGUAUGUGUGGAGCCGUCCUUGAAAUACCACCCUUGUAGUGUUGAUGUUCUAACGUCGACCCCUUAUCGGGGUUGCGGACAGUGCCUGGUGGGUAGUUUGACUGGGGCGGUCUCCUCCCAAAGAGUAACGGAGGAGCACGAAGGUGGGCUAAUCACGGUUGGACAUCGUGAGGUUAGUGCAAUGGCAUAAGCCCGCUUGACUGCGAGAAUGACAAUUCGAGCAGGUGCGAAAGCAGGUCAUAGUGAUCCGGUGGUUCUGAAUGGAAGGGCCAUCGCUCAACGGAUAAAAGGUACUCCGGGGAUAACAGGCUGAUACCGCCCAAGAGUUCAUAUCGACGGCGGUGUUUGGCACCUCGAUGUCGGCUCAUCACAUCCUGGGGCUGAAGUCGGUCCCAAGGGUAUGGCUGUUCGCCAUUUAAAGUGGUACGCGAGCUGGGUUUAGAACGUCGUGAGACAGUUCGGUCCCUAUCUGCCGUGGGCGUUGGAAGAUUGAAGGGGGCUGCU
rnacentral:rRNA from 1 species